UACGUAGGGGGCAAGCGUUAUCCGGAUUUAUUGGGUUUAAAGGGUGCGUAGGUGGUCUGUUAAGUCUGUGGUGAAAGCGUGCGGCUCAACCGUACCAAGCCAUGGAAACUGGCGGACUUGAGUGCAAACGAGGUAGGCGGAAUGUGACGCGUAGCGGUGAAAUGCUUAGAUAUGUCACAGAACCCCGAUUGCGAAGGCAGCUUACCAGCAUGCAACUGACACUGAGGCACGAAAGCGUGGGUAUCAAACA
rnacentral:rRNA from 1 species